AUGAAGACAGAUCCACACGUGCCGGCGGAGAGCACCGGGGGACAAGCAGUGGCGGUGAAGAAGAAGAAGCAAGGUCGCAAGCGCAAGCCGCGGUCCGACGUGUGGGAGCACUUCGAACCUUUCACGAAUUCCGACGGGGAGGAGAGAGCGAGGUGCAGAAGGUGCGGUCUCGACCUCGCCGCCGACACCAGCAGGAACGGCACCAGUCGUCUCCGCCGGCACGCCCAAGGCAGCUGCCCAGGAUCACCACCACCACCACCACCACCAAAGCCUCUAGCUGCCGCCGUACAAUCACAGUCACUCGACUGCAGUAGUAAGCCUGCUGACAGCAAUUGGAAGGAGGCCACUGCCGAUCUGGCCAGAAUGAUAGCGUCGCACUCGUACGACCCAUCCUUUGUCGAGGACAGCAGCUUCAGGAGCUUCGUGUGCCGGCUGAACCCGGGCUUCGAGGUGCCCUCGCGGGACGCCAUCCAGCUGAGCUGCGACGGUAUUUUCGAGGAAACGAUGAGGGUCCUGGAGUCUGAGCUCGAGCGCACCUCCGGACAAGUCAACCUAGCACUAGACGCAGCCGAGACCGCUCAGGGGACGGUCCUGUACGUCGCCUGCCACUUCAUCGACGAAGGCUGGCAUCACCGCCAGAUGAUCAUCGACGCUUAUUUGGUCGCGCCGGAGUACAUGAGCCGCAUGCCGCUGCUGGGCACCGGCGGGGUUGUCCUACACGGCACAGACCGUUACAACGUGCUCGUCGAGAGGAUAUCCAGCCACUCUGUUCUGCACAGGCUGUUCAGCAUCACCGUCGGACGGAUCGGCGGCCUCAGGCCCUACCUACAGAAGGCGAGCUUCCAGGCCGUCUGCGGCGGCGUGAGCUGCUGCUGCGGCGACACCUACGCGGACACUCUGCUUUGCUCCGUCGCCGAAGACCUCUGCGACAACCUACGAUCACAUCCCUUCGCCAGCGACGCAGAGGAGACGGUCGAGGGGGAGCCCGGGCUCGAGUUCGAAGAGCUCCGCUCGCAGCUUGAUUUCGACUGCCGUCUGCCGUACCACAAGAAGUGGUACUCGUGCUACUCUUCGCUGCAGGUUUUCCAAAAGUAUUCUUCCUCGGAGUUCGACAAACUGCUGUGCAGGCUUUGGAGGGGAAUAGAUCGCGCCACCAAAACAAUCUCGGACCUCAAACAUCGUCCUUCUUGA
rnacentral:rRNA from 1 species